rnacentral:rRNA from 1 species
GUACGGAGGGUGCAAGCGUUACUCGGAAUCACUGGGCGUAAAGCGCGCGCAGGCGGCUUGAUAAGUUGGAUGUGAAAGCCUACGGCUCAACCGUAGAACUGCAUCCAAAACUGUCAAGCCAGAGUCUGGGAGGGGAAGAUGGAAUUAGUUGUGUAGGGGUAAAAUCCGUAGAGAUAACUAGGAAUACCAAAAGCGAAGGCGAUCUUCUGGAACAGUACUGACGCUGAGGCGCGAAAGCGUGGGGAGCAAACAGGAUUAGAUACCCCAGUAGUCC